rnacentral:misc_RNA from 1 species
GAUGAAGAACGUAGCGAAAUGCGAUAAGUAGUGUGAAUUGCAGAAUUCAGUGAAUCAUCGAAUCUUUGAACGCACAUUGCGCCCCGUGGUAUCCCGAGGGGCAUGCCUGUUCGAGCGUCAUUUCACCACUCAAGCCUGGCUUGGUGUUGGGCGACGUCCCCUUUGGGGACGCGCCUCGAAACGCUCGGCGGCGUGGCACCGGCUUUAAGCGUAGCAGAAUCUUUCGCUUUGGAAGUCGGGGCCCCGUCUGCCGGAAGACCUACUCGCAAGGUUGACCUCGGAUCAGGCAGGGAUACCCGCUGAACUUAAGCAUAUCAAUAAGCGGAGGA